CGUACCGGCUCAAUCAAUUUCGGCUUUAAACGAUUGUAAGUCAAUCAAUAUCAAUGCUGCUGUAGCGAAAGACGGAAAGGAACAUUUAACAAGACUUUCUGGAAAGUGCCAUGCCCAUGAUUUUCAAACAAAAAAAAAAAUCCCAGAUCAGCAAUUUCAGGGAAUGCUAGAAACUCCAACUCAAUCAAUUCCUUCUCAAUUGGGAUGAUGGUUGAAAUGAGGUGAAGAGCAGAGGAAUGCGAAAAGAGAAAAACAGAAGGAAACGACAAAACAGAGAACAGAUAUUUUUUGUUUUAAUAAAGGACAGGAAGACCGAGCAUGAAAUAGUAAUAAUAAUAAAAAAAACAUUCGACCUUGUUUAAAACUGCGUCAGGCUUGCUGGGAUAAAUUUACAAAAAGAGAGUCGUGCAGGCUCGCGCGUCAUGGGUCCUGGAUCUAGAUGGGAAAAUGGACAGAGUGGGUUCAAGAUAAAUUCCUACUAAGAUAUUAAAAACCAUAGUUAACUUAGCCAAGUCUAUAAAAGCACAGUAAUAUAUCACGGAGCAUGUAAACAAGACUGGGGUGUGUCUUUGCCGCCGUUGAGGAGACCGAAAACGACCAGGCUGAAAAGUGACAUGCGACCAGGGGCCAUUGUUAACUAGUUCAGAUGUUCAAGAGGAUUUCUGACUGGCUGAGAGCCGUUUUUUUCAUUUCUGAAGCUCCAUCUUUUCAUGGAUGCAAUGAUACUACUCUGUAUUUAGUUACGACUACAUACGCGCUUGACUGAGUUGACUCUGCUCGGGAGCCUUCCGCCCACAAUUUGCAAAAAGCCAAUCUGUUGAUUAAAGCCUGCAUGGAGUUAGAUCCGGUUGCUAAUUAGCUGAAUUGAGAGAGAAAGUAACGACAGCAUGAGCCUGGCAGAUUCGGGUUUAGGGCGGCACAGUCAGUGCGCAAGCUGAUACCUUAGUUUCGUUGUCACUUGUCAUGGUUUCUAAGCCUCGGAUGGACCUGGGUACUUCUUUCUGCAGGGUAAUCAAUUAUCUGAAGAUAUUUAACUAACUAUUUGCUCGGUUUUCCGGUGUGUGUAUGCCGAGAUUAGUCUGCUUUGUAUACUCUUUCUUAGUUUCAUGUCAACAGCUAGCUCAGGCCAGGACGUCCGAGUCGAAACUGCACAGAUCGUGGCAUGAUCAUCCAGAUUCAAUAGUGGCACUCGCAUAAAACCUUAGACCGGCGUCGAACUGGGGCAAAACGGACAGAAAGACCGAAAAGGUUGAAUUUUUUCCGCAGUCAUACGGGAUCCAUUUUGAUCCAUUAUCAAAUGACAGUUGGCAGUGGCACUUUUGUCUCCAUUUUGUCUCCAUUUGGUUCUCCAUAUAUAGUUAUGCUACAUAGACCCUCCUCCUCCGUACGGCGCUUUACGGAGCUCGGCCAGUGGCUCAGUUUAGCCCUUAAUGCUAGCUGAUUAGUCCUUAUUAGCACUUAUUAGCCCACUGUGGGGGGACGGCCUGUUCUGCUCGUUACGUAGUUGUCAAAGGUGCUGUAUUCCAUACGCCUCCAAAUACAUUGAUUGAGGGCGUCAUUGGGGUCACCGGAAAGGUACUCUGCGGGCAAAUUUGGCUCUAUCUGUCGCAUUAUGUAGCAUUUGUGACCACCGAACGAGAAUAAAUCAAAACCACAGGACCGGAUAUCCUUAUGAACACAGUCCGAGUUAAGUCUUAAGAGUGAAUCAGCAGAAAAGUAUCUUUCUUAGAGUUCUAGGCAGGAAAGAGCAGCGACUGGUCGACGAGAAGCGCUUCGGCUCGUGCGUCUUGAGUUUCUCCACCCCCUCAGCAACCGACUCCAACAAAAGCCUUUCUCUCGCUCUGAUUGCUUGUCUACCUACGAUUUGCACCAUUUACCCGUAGAGUAGAGCGAUAAGCGAUCCUCCAACGAGCUGUGUGUUAUCUAGCAUGGGGCAAAUCUGGCAGUUGGCAUAUGGAACACUCACCCGAUGAACGAUUGAAUCGCCUUGGGUCGAUCCAAAUCUCAUUUCUAGUUCGGAAAGCGGCCAAUGAGUGUUUAUAAUACUUAACAAUUGACAAGCAAAAGUACAACAGGCAUCGUUUCGUGGGAUGGCAAUACUAAAACUAAGACGUACUUCAGAUCUACCUCUGGCGUCUGUUUUUGCCCCCCCCCCUCUCUCUAUCCCCACCAAGCAAUGGAAGACAGCAUGAUGGCAAUUCGUACAUAGCCUAAUGCUGAGUUUUUAACUUUUAUUACGUUUCUACACCUUGAUAUACCUAGGUCUCAGAUAAUCCUUGUGACGAUCCGAUUCUUUCCAUACAACCGAAUCCCUGCGAAAGACAGUACAGAGUCACAGGCAGAUGCAUGGAGAACGAGUAAACAGCUGAACUGUACGACAGACACACUCGACUAAGGUGACUUUAGUUUAGUCCGAUGGAGAUAAAGCAGUGCAGGGACCACUGUCGCAAAUGCGGAGCUGGUCAAGCCAUCCUGCACACUAGAUAGCAUUAGGGUGUCCACUCAGCACUGUGUGUGUGUGUGUGUGUGUGUGUGUGCUCUCCG
rnacentral:lncRNA from 1 species